AUAAAAUAAAAUUAUAUAAUACAUCUACAUGUACUGACCCUCCAAAUUUCCUCAUCCUAAUCCCUACUGCUUCACCUUCUUCCUUUCUUGCUUCAAGAUUGAGAACUCGAGUAGUCUCCCAUUCCCUCUCUUUUUCAUUCAUUUUUACAUGUUUGGUUGCUGGGAAAAUUUGAAUGAAACAAUUACCGUAAAUAAUCAUUCUGCUACAUCUAUUUUAACACCUGUCACUUGCUUCCACUGUUGCAGCAAGAUUGAGAACCCAAGCCCAACUCAGGAGAGCAUUUGGGAGCGAAAGGAGACAAAAUUGAGCCAAAGUCAGACAAAUAGAGUUAUUUUUAGGAGCCACACAACCUGGGCAUUUCCAUACGGCCUGGGCACAAGCUCGUGUGUCAGCCCAUGUCAAUUUCGCACCCUGCUUCCCAAAUACGCGGAAAAACUCAAUUUUUAGGCUUUCUGAGAAUUCUAAAGUCUAUAAAUACCCAUUAGAAGAAGACUUAAAGGAGCAAUCAGAGUAGAUCGAAGAAAACACUCAAAGAACACCAUCGGAAUCAACACAAAAGUGGAUCUCCAUAAAGAUCGAAGAUCUCAUUUUAAUUUCUUUUGAAGUUUUAUUGAGUUUCUUUAUGUUUUAUGGUUAUUCUGACUUUGAGAUGUUUCUAUUCAAGAUUACGAACCAAUUCCCUAAAUACCUAGGGAGGAUGAAACCUAUGAUGAAUCCUUUUAUUUAAUUUAUGUUUUUACGUGAUAAAUACUUGAUCCUUGUUCUCAAUUAUGUAUACUUAUUUCUUGUUUUAAUAUUUCUGUGAUAUUAAUUCAUGCUUAAUGUGCUUAAUUCAGUGGAGCAAAAGUCCCCGUUUAAGAGUAGGUCUAGCAUAAUUGAGUGGAGUUGCAUGCAAUCCUAGAAAUAAGACGAUAUAAAUCUACUAGAUUAGAGUCAAAUAUAAUAGGGGAAUUCAUAGAUCGAGUUAAUGCGACAAUAGGGGUUUUAAUUAGAAAGAGAUUUCAAUUAAUCAACCUAGAGUCAGUUGUUCUUACUCUCGAAAAAGAUAUUAACAUAAUUUAGGGAUCUCUACGGAUUAAGACACAAGUGAAUAAAUCGUUUAAUUCAGAUUCAUAAUAAUAGGUGAAGUCUGGGUGGAUUUUUUCCUAGGUAUUAUCUAUCUCAUUAGUUAUCUUUGAUUAUUUUCCUAUUUUAUUCUUUGUUGAUUUCUUAGUUAAAUUAGUUUUGUAAUUUUAGAUUAAAACACAUUACUCCAAAUUCUUGGCUAAAUAAUAAGAAGACGAUAAUUAUUAGUACUUUUAGUGCUCGUGGAUACGAUAUUCUCUACUCACCAUAGCUAUACUAUUAUUCGAUAGGUGCGGAUAGAACUAUUAGAUAUCCUAGGGGUGUUACUGAGGAUGUUCUUGUUAAAAUAGAUAAAUUCAUAUUCCCUGUUGACUUUGUUGUUUUAGACAGGGAUGAGGAAAGUGAGAUACCUUUAAUUUUAGGACGACCCUUUUUAGCAACUGCUAGAACUAUAAUUGAUGUUGGUACGAGUGAAUUAGUACUUCGUGUAGGUAACGAAAUGAUUUCUCUCCAAGCACGUGAUUCUGUGAGAGUCUCUAGUAAUCAAGAUGAUUUUAAAUGUUCUGUUAACAUAAGUAACCAUGUGGCUCAACCUUCUUUGUAGGAAAUCCCACGAGAGAUAAUAAAGGAGCCACGUUUCAAUUAAUGCGACAGAAACAUAACGACUUUUGAAGAACGAAUAUUACAAAUCGAUGAACUAGAUGAAUGGCGAAAACAUGUUAAGGAGAAACCGAGAGAGCACGAUGAAAAGCCAAAGCGACGCCAUGAUGAGCACGUAAUGAGAACAAACCAAUUUACGGUUGGAAACAAAGUACUGCUAGAAAAAACGGAUCCAAAAAUCUCCUAUUCGGAGCUCGAGUCAAAUGGAUUAACUCUAUGUGCGGUACUAAAUGUCUUUACCUACAGUACAGUCGAUGUAACUCAUUAUGAAUUUGGCAUAUUUAAGCUAAACAGUACUCGACUUAAACUUUAUUUUGAUAAUAGAAUUGAUAAUGAGAGAGAGGAGCUUCUGCUUCACGAACCACUGCGAUCGCGCAUGCAUAAGGAGAGCAUUUGGGAGUCAAAGGAGAGAAAAAUGAGCCAGCAUCGGAUAAAUAGAGUUGUUUUCAGGAGCCACACGAACUAGGCAUUUCCACACAGGCUGGGCACACGCCCAUUUGCCAACCCGUGUCGAUUUCGCACCUUGCUUCCCAAAUACGCAGAAAAACCCAAUUUUUAGGCUUUCUGAGCAUUCUAAAGUCUAUAAAUACUCAUUAGAAGAAGACUUAAGGGAGCAAUCAGAGUAGAUCGAAGAAAACACUCCUAGAACACCAUUGGAUUCAACUCGGAAGUAGAUCUCCAUCUAGAUUGAAGAUCUCCUUUUAAUUCUUUUCGAAAUUUUAUUGAGUUUCUUAGUGUAUUGUGGUUAUUUUGACUUUGAGAUGUUUCUAUUCAGGAUUAUGAACUAAUUCCCUAGAUACCUAGGGAGGAUGAAACCUAUGAUGAAUCAUUUUAUUUAAUUUAUGUUUU